UAGGGAAUCUUCGGCAAUGGACGGAAGUCUGACCGAGCAACGCCGCGUGAGUGAAGAAGGUUUUCGGAUCGUAAAGCUCUGUUGUAAGAGAAGAACGAGUGUGAGAGUGGAAAGUUCACACUGUGACGGUAUCUUACCAGAAAGGGACGGCUAACUACAUGCCAGCAGCCGCGGUAAUACGUAGGUCCCGAGCGUUGUCCGGAUUUAUUGGGCGUAAAGCGAGCGCAGGCGGUUAGAUAAGUCUGAAGUUAAAGGCUGUGGCUUAACCAUAGUAGGCUUUGGAAACUGUUUAACUUGAGUGCAAGAGGGGAGAGUGGAAUUCCAUGUGUAGCGGUGAAAUGCGUAGAUAUAUGGAGGAACACCGGUGGCGAAAGCGGCUCUCUGGCUUGUAACUGACGCUGAGGCUCGAAAGCGUGGGGAGCAAACAGGAUUAGAUACCCUGGUAGUCCACGCUGUAAACGAUGAGUGCUAGGUGUUAGACCCUUUCCGGGGUUUAGUGCCGUAGCUAACGCAUUAAGCACUCCGCCUGGGGAGUACGACCGCAAGGUUG
rnacentral:rRNA from 1 species